rnacentral:rRNA from 1 species
GACGAACGCUGGCGGCGUGCUUAACACAUGCAAGUCGAACGGAAAGGCCCUGCUUUUGUGGGGUGCUCGAGUGGCGAGCGGGUGAGUAACACGUGAGUAACCUGCCCUUGACUUUGGGAUAACUUCAGGAAACUGGGGCUAAUACCGGAUAGGAGCUCCUGCUGCAUGGUGGGGGUUGGAAAGUUUCGGCGGUUGGGGAUGGACUCGCGGCUUAUCAGCUUGUUGGUGGGGUAGUGGCUUACCAAGGCUUUGACGGGUAGCCGGCCUGAGAGGGUGACCGGCCACAUUGGGACUGAGAUACGGCCCAGACUCCUACGGGAGGCAGCAGUGGGGAAUAUUGCACAAUGGGCGGAAGCCUGAUGCAGCAACGCCGCGUGCGGGAUGACGGCCUUCGGGUUGUAAACCGCUUUCGCCUGCGACGAAGCGUGAGUGACGGUAAUGGGUAAAGAAGCACCGGCUAACUACGUG